AUUGAACGCUAGCGGGAGGCCUUACACAUGCAAGUCGAACGAGUGGCGGACGGGUGAGUAAUAUAUGGGAAACUGCCUGGUAGCGGGGGAUAACUACUGGAAACGGUGGCUAAUACCGCAUACUAUUGGAGCGGCCCAGAUGGGAUUAGCUAGUAGGUGGGGUAAAGGCUCACCAAGGCGACGAUCCCUAGCUGGUUUGAGAGGACGACCAGCCAAACUGGAACUGAGACACGGUCCAGACUCCUACGGGAGGCAGCAGUGGGGAAUUUUGCACAAUGGGCGAAACCCUGAUCCAGCCAUGCCGCGUGUAUGAAGAAGGCCUUCGGGUUGUAAAGUACUUUUGGCAGGGAGGCGGUAUCCGCAGAAUAAGCACCGGCUAACUCCGUGCCAGCAGCCGCGGUAAUUC
rnacentral:rRNA from 1 species